CGGGACGGGUGAGUAACGCGUGGAUAACCUGCCCCACACUGGGGGAUAACAGUUAGAAAUGACUGCUAAUACCGCAUAAGCGCACAGUACCGCAUGGUACAGUGUGAAAAACUCCGGUGGUGUGAGAUGGAUCCGCGUCUGAUUAGCCAGUUGGCGGGGUAACGGCCCACCAAAGCGACGAUCAGUAGCCGACCUGAGAGGGUGACCGGCCACAUUGGACUGAGACACGGCCCAA
rnacentral:rRNA from 1 species